GUCAGGCUGGCCGAGUGGUCUAAGGCACCCCAAAAUAUAUUUGAGAUUCGAAGCGUGGAUUCGAAUUUCACACCUGACA